GCAUUGAACGUUGUUGUUGCAGCAGUUGUUGUACGGAAGCGCAUGCGGUUGCUGCGACUGCGGCGGCUGUUGGGGCGGCUGCUGCUGCUGUUGCGGCGGCUGUUGUAGCGGUUGCUGCUGCUGCUGCUGCUGUUGCGGCUGUUGCAGUGGCUGCUGUUGUUG